rnacentral:rRNA from 1 species
GGUCUAAGUUCCUUGGAACAGGACGUCAUAGAGGGUGAGAAUCCCGUAUGUGACUGGCUUGCACCCUCCACGUAGCUCCUUCGACGAGUCGAGUUGUUUGGGAAUGCAGCUCUAAAUGGGAGGUAAAUUUCUUCUAAAGCUAAAUACCGGCCAGAGACCGAUAGCGCACAAGUAGAGUGAUCGAAAGAUGAAAAGCACUUUGGAAAGAGAGUUAAAAAGCACGUGAAAUUGUUGAAAGGGAAGCGCCCGCAACCAGACUUUGCGGCGGUGUUCGGCUGGUCUUCUGACCGGUUUACUCGCCGCCGUGAGGCCAUCAUCGUCUGGGACCGCUGGAUAAGACCUGAGGAAUGUAGCUCCCUUCGGGGUGUGUUAUAGCCUCUGGUGAUGCAGCGCGUCUCGGGCGAGGUCCGCGCUUCGGCAAGGAUGAUGGCGUAAUGGUUGUCGGCGGCCCGUCUUGAAACACGGACCAAGGAGUCUAACAUCUAUGCGAGUGUUCGGGUGUCAAACCCCUACGCGUAAUGAAAGUGAACGGAGGUGGGAACUUUUUGUGCACCAUCGACCGAUCCUGAUGUCCUCGGAUGGAUUUGAGUAAGAGCAUAGCUGUUGGGACCCGAAAGAUGGUGAACUAUGCCUGAAUAGGGUGAAGCCAGAGGAAACUCUGGUGGAGGC